CCCUUAGAUGUUCUGGGCCGCACGCGCGCUACACUGACGAUGGCAACGAGGUUUUCCUUCGCCGAAAGGUGUGGGUAAUCUUUUGAAACAUCGUCGUGCUGGGGAUAGAUCAUUGCAAUUUUUGAUCUUGAACGAGGAAUUCCUAGUAAGCGCGAGUCAUCAGCUCGCGUUGAUUACGUCCCUGCCCUUUGUACACACCGCCCGUCGCUACUACCGAUUGAAUGGUUUAGUGAGGACUCCUGAUUGGCGCCGCCGCCCCGGCAACGGAGCAGCGGACUGCCGAAAAGUUGUUCAAACUUGAUCAUUUAGAGGAAGUAAAAGUCGUAACA
rnacentral:rRNA from 1 species